rnacentral:rRNA from 1 species
UACGUAGGGUGCAGGCGUUAAUCGGAAUUACUGGGCGUAAAGGGCGCGUAGGCGGUCUGUUAAGUUCGGUGUGAAAGCCCCCGGCUCGCCUGGGGAACUGCGCCGGAAACCGACAGACUCGAGUACCGGAGAGGAGGGUGGAAUUCCUGGUGUAGCGGUGAAAUGCGUAGAUAUCAGGAGGAACACCGGUGGCGAAGGCGGCCCUCUGGACGGAUACUGACGCUGAGGCGCGAAAGCGUGGGGAUCAAACAGG